CCCAACACAUGCUAGCAUGCAGAUCUGCUGCAGGCUCGGCUUGCGACAACAGGAGAGGCUGCUGAGCUGUGCAGUUUAAGCUGCCAGAGAUCCCUUUUAACAAUGUCAUUCUGCUCUGACAAGGCACUGCAGCACUCAACUUUCAAUGCUUGGAAGGCAACUCAGCUUCUCUCAUGCUUAUCUCUCUGGCCUGUGCCCACAGACUGCACGAAAUGGUGAAGGCUGAUUGGUGAAGCAAACCUCCAAUAUGUUCCACAACCUGGGAGCCAAACCGUGCAGCCCGAAAAGACUUUAUUUCUGUUGGUCCCUGACACUUGGUCAGAAAAUGGCAGCAUACAGUAGUGUAAUUAUGUGACAUGCACUUUGUUGAUUUGUCUGAUAAUAUAUUUUGUUUUUAGUGAAUUUAUAAAGACAUGAAGAAAUAUUUACAUUUUGAAAUAUAUUAUGCAUAUUUUUAUAUAGGACUACUUUUAUAUGCAACAUUGUUUGUUAAAUCAAUACAUUAAUAGAACACAAAUAAUAUAAUAAUAUAAACAUACAGUAUAGUAUAUGCAAUUCCAUUUAAGGUUAAGUACUGAGAGAAAGGAGUUUCCUGCCAUGUAUAGCUUAUAGUCUAAUUGGUGGGCAACUUACAGACACAAAAAGGAUGUUAAGAAAUGCUGCUAUUAGCAGUCGUUGAGAUACUCUCAGCAGGUUGAGACUGAUGUUAUGCUAGCACUCCAAGAGUGUUUGAGUUUGCAAGAUGGUACGGAAAUAUUCACCUAUAAAUGCUUAAAUGGACCACACACUGGCUAAUUGUAAGGCCUGCUGUCAUUUUAACUACAGUUAAGGACACUAGGAAUAGUAGUUCAGCAGGUAAGUAUCUCUGGGAGCACUUUAGGUGGCCAAACAUGGGCAUAUUUCAGCUGCCGAUUUGGGUCCAUCAGACUGAUUUGGGACCUUUCCUGCCCAUGUAUAGGGCCCCCUGACAGGCCAAACCCGACCAACAUCUGACCUAAAAUAGGGCAGAUCUCAAUCAGGCAGGUUUGUUUUGUCGUUGGAUCGGGGAUUGCAUACGCUCGGUAACUUGGCCCUCGGCCUGACGGCGCCUAUGCCUGCCGUUUUAAUUCAGUCUUUUGGCUAUAGGGCCAAAUGAUCAAAUUAGCCAAUAUUGCUCAUCUUAGGUGGGUAUCUCAGGAGAAGAUUGUUGUUUGGUGACCUUGCCAAAUGAGUGAAUUGCACUUAGUAAUUUACUAAGGUGCUGCAUCUGUCAUUAUAAUCAGUUAUAAUAAUAAUAAUAAUAAGAGAAUUGACCAUUUUAGCCUCAUGCCUAAGAACUUAGAAUUGGAAAUCCAAUGUCUCUGUAAGUUUUAUGGCUACAAUAAUACAGUUAAAUGGCACGUUGAAUAGGCAGAGCGAAUCCAGUUUCAUCACCCUUAUCUACUCAUUUAGUUUUUCUUUGGCUUUAAGAUACCUUUCGGAUUUUAUAGGGCAUAUUUUGUUGCAUACUCAUUGUAUUUGUUUCCCCUUUGUACAAAAUUGAACAAUGAUCUGUUAUUAGAGUCAACCCUGGUUAACCACGAAUGGAUAUGACUCACUUUCUGGCUGCCAGAUAGAAGGAGAGGGCAUUGGUCAUUUCUCUGUUUUAGAUUCAGCGGAAGAGGAGACACAAGGAAGGAAGAAGUAGAUGAUGUGUGCUGUCUGUGAGUGUUUCUUUGGCAGUGUCUUAGCUGGUUGUUGUGGCACGUUAUAGAAGUAGCAAUCAGCAAAUAUACUGCCCUAGAAGUUCUGCACAUUGUGUGGCCCGGGAUAUGCCAGAUGUGGACUUCAAGACAAACAAAACAUACCAGCUAAAGACUUAUCUACACAGGAAAUGUUAUGCUAAUGUGCACAGCUUUAUGUUCAUUUUGGUCUGUAAAUUAAAGUUGGCUAGAAGUCAAUAAAAUCUUCAACCUCUGUGUAUUUUUA